rnacentral:tRNA from 1 species
GGCUUGUUAGCUCAAGUGGUAGAGCGCUGCACUACUAUCGCAGAGGUCAGUGGUUCGAAUCCCGUACAGGCCU